GGGGUUUUUCAUACUUCGAAGAAGACGC
rnacentral:piRNA from 1 species